AGUACAGCGUAGCAGGCAGGAGCGACUGGGCUGCAGGGUAGAGCGCUCAGUGGGGUGCCUCUUUUGUUUUGUUUUGUUUUUGCUGUUGCAGCUGUCCACAGGGCUCAGUGGGAUUUCUGCCGGGCUGUGCACCCGGAGUGCACCGGUCUCAUCUUUAAGACCCGGAACAGAAGGACAAGCACAUUGCUUGUACUAUCUUGGUGAUGUAAUGCCCAAGACCCCUAAAAGGAAGCGGAGGCACAGAGAGGUCAUUGGUGUUGGCUGCGGCGGGAUGAAGCCAUGUCCCGGGGAAGCGAAUCGUGAAGCUGAGACGCCCUUCUCUUCCCAGAGCCAGCAGGCUGUUCUCACUGCACUGGAAGUAGCUGGCAGUGAACUCAGACCCACAAUUGGUCAACUUUCAGAGAACGAGAGACUUUGGAGUGCUGAGCCCUAAAUGAGAUGUCUAGACCAUACUCUCUCCUCCCAAGUCUCAGAGAACAUCGUGGAAGAGAGGGGAGAAAGGUGUAAGAGCCAAGAGCAUGGGAUUCUCAUCCUAUUAGGACGAGACCAUCAACACACUAAGAAGUAAGAGAAAUGGCAUGUAACCAGAUGUGCAAAGCCUCAGAAUGACUUCUGUGGGGUUUUUUUUUUAUUUGAAUCCUACCUCUGACUCUAAGAUGAUGACUGACAAAUGGAAACCAUGCAAACAGACAUUAGAGAAAUCUGUUGUAAGCGAAGCACUCACUAGAAUACACAUUUCAUAACAGUAAGUACUUUUGGAGACAAUAGGUCCAUAAAACAAUUUUGUGGAUCAAACUAAAGAAUUAAAAUUUCAUUGACAUUCACUUAUAUACCCAGGAAGAAAGCAAAACAUCUAAUAUGAACUAGAACACCUAAUUCAAAUUAAACUGCUUAUUACAAAGCA